rnacentral:rRNA from 1 species
UACGUAGGGUGCAAGCGUUGUCCGGAAUUAUUGGGCGUAAAGAGCUCGUAGGCGGUCUGUCACGUCGGACGUGAAAAUCCAGGGCUCAACCCUGGACCUGCAUUCGAUACGGGCAGACUAGAGUUCGGUAGGGGAGACUGGAAUUCCUGGUGUAGCGGUGAAAUGCGCAGAUAUCUGGAGGAACACCGGUGGCGAAGGCGGCAUCCUGGACCGAUAUUGACGCUGAGGCGCGAAAGCCAGGGGAGCAAACGGG